AGUACUAACAAACUGUAUGUGGAAAUGUGGCUUUAACAGAAACAAUUGUUGCUUUUUCCACCCGCAUCAAGGGGCCCAAACCGCCAGUGGGCCCCCCCCAGGAGCAGCAUGUGGCUCGGUCCGAUCCAGAGCCACGGCGGUGCUGAACAAGCUUCGAGUGUCUGUGGAGCUGCUGGUCGCCCUGGCCGCCCUCCUGUGCUGGCUGACGGUGGGCGUGGUCAUGUUCGACUUUGUGGAGUACAAGGCAGUACCAGACGUCCAGCACAUCAUGUCCGACCCGGUCCAAGCCGCGUACGACGCCGCGGAGGAAGUCUCCAAUCUCGUCAGCAAGUUCCAAGAAUGCGCGCCUGACUUGAGCGACCCCGUGUCCGCGGCCACGUACGCGCUGGAUGAAAUCGUCCACGCCAAAGACGGAUUCGUACGCUAUUUCUCCGACGACGAUGACAACUUCUACCUGAGCUACGUGGAUCCGGUGGUGUUGGGCAGACGACUUUUCCAUUCUGUCAACGACCGUGUGUGCGGGGCGGCGGCGUCCCUCAGGGACGCGCUCUGCGCCGCUGUGGACGCCGUGCUGCACUCGAUAGCGCAAAUUAGCGAAGGUGCAACGGACUUGAGGUUCCUGGAUCCGGUCCCGUGGUGCAGAGGUGUGUUCUCCUGCGCCGAUGACUUUGUUUGCGGCCUGCUGGGCUCCAUUCAGCAGCUCCUCUGUGGCGUCUUGGACUCUGCUCUGGCUCUACUUAAAGGAAGUGUCGUCGUCAAAUAUUUGGACCCCGUGGCGUUCGGCAGGAACGUCGUCAGCGUCGCAAACGACACCGUCAAUAAAAUAUCAGGCGGCCUGCGGGACGUGACGGCGGCCACCACAGACGGCGUCGUUCAUAUGCUCAACGACAUCCGGGAACUGGUCUCCUUCAGCCCCUCGGCCGCCCUGAACAGAACCGGCGAAAUCGUCGCGGCGCAGUACCACAUCCUCGUGGGCGCCGUCCGCGGGGCCUUCCCCGACGUGACCUUCGACCCCGCCAAAGCCGUGGAGGCCGUCGUCCUGGGACUGACGGACAAGAAGGAUUUGUUCGUGGCCUACAUGUCCGCCUUGAUUGCGGGCGAUCGAGCUGAACCUGUCACUACACCGCCUGAGGAUGUCAUCCCCGGAAAAGAUGAAAGCGCGACGCCUCACGUAGAAAGACAAAUGGUGAGACGCAAAGGUGAAUUUCUGCCGCCAUUCGUCAAAGUUGCAGAGGUGACGCCGAUGAUGAUGAUGAUGAUGACGAAGACGACGACGCACGGCCCGAAAAACCGGCGGCCAGACAUUAAAGCGUCAGAAAAAGACGAGGAAGAACGCGUCCGCCUUGAGGCAUCGCUCGGCGUCCAAGAGGAGGAGGAGGAGGAUGAUGAAGACGAAUGGCAGCUGCGUGUAAAUAAGGAGGACCGAGAGGAGGAGAACAUGGGAGGUGUGUCCGAGGAGGUGGAUGAAGAAGAAGAAGUAUUGGAGAAGGAGGAGGAAGUGGAGGAGGAGACCAAAGGUCCAGAAGAACUGUUCCGUUGGGAGGAGGAAGAGGACAACAAGAUGACAAUAAAUGAGGAGGAGGAGGGCACAAUAACUGAUGAGGACGAGGAGGCGGAGGAAGAUAAGGAAACACCGGCCACAGACGAGCGUUAUGACGAGGGGGAAAUCAUUUCUGGUGAUGAGGUUGAAGAUGAGGAGACAGCAACUAUAGACGGUCACGACAAGGUGGAGGAGACCAAAGUUGUUGAUGAGGCGGAAGAGGAGGCGACAAUAACUGAAGAUGAGGAGGAGGAGGGGGAGGAGGAAGACGAGACACCAAUCGUAGGUGACCAGGACGAGGAACAGAACAAAGAAGAGACCGCAACAAUAUUAGAUGAGGAGACUGCAACUAUGGACCAUCACGACAAGGACGGGGAGGAGGAGACCAAAAUUGUUGAUGAGGAGGAAGAGGAGGCGACAAUAACUGAAGUUGAGGAGGAAGAGGAAGAGGAGAGACCAACCGUAGGUGACCAGGACGAAGAACUGAACAAAGAAGAGACUACAACAAUAUUAGAUGAGGAGGAAGAUGAGGAGAAAACAACAGAUGAUGUUGAUGAAGAGGAGAAAACAACUGUUGAGGAGGAGGAAGAGGAGGCGACAAUAACUGAAGAUGAGGAGGAGGAGGAGGAGGAGGACGAGACACCAAUCGUAGGUGACCAGGACGAGGAACAGAACAAAGAAGAGACCGCAACAGUAUUAGAUGAGGAGACUGCAACUAUGGACCAUCACGACAAGGACGGGGAGGAGGAGACCAAAAUUGUUGAUGAGGAGGAAGAGGAGGCGACAAUAACUGAAGUUGAGGAGGAAGAGGAAGAGGAGAGACCAACCGUAGGUGACCAGGACGAAGAACUGAACAAAGAAGAGACUACAACAAUAUUAGAUGAGGAGGAAGAUGAGGAGAAAACAACAGAUGAUGUUGAUGAAGAGGAGAAAACAACUGUUGAGGAGGAGGAAGAGGAGGCGACAAUAACUGAAGAUGAGGAGGAGGAGGAGGAGGAGGACGAGACACCAAUCGUAGGUGACCAGGACGAGGAACAGAACAAAGAAGAGACCGCAACAAUAUUAGAUGAGGAGACUGCAACUAUGGACCAUCACGACAAGGACGGGGAGGAGGAGACCAAAAUUGUUGAUGAGGAGGAAGAGGAGGCGACAAUAACUGAAGUUGAGGAGGAAGAGGAAGAGGAGAGACCAACCGUAGGUGACCAGGACGAAGAACUGAACAAAGAAGAGACUACAACAAUAUUAGAUGAGGAGGAAGAUGAGGAGAAAACAACAGAUGAUGUUGAUGAAGAGGAGAAAACAACUGUUGAGGAGGAGGAAGAGGAGGCGACAAUAACUGAAGAUGAGGAGGAGGAGGAGGAGGAGGAGGACGAGACACCAAUCGUAGGUGACCAGGACGAGGAACAGAACAAAGAAGAGACCGCAAUAAUAUUAGAUGAGGAGACUGCAACUAUGGACCAUCACGACAAGGACGGGGAGGAGGAGACCAAAAUUGUUGAUGAGGAGGAAGAGGAGGCGACAAUAACUGAAGAUGAAGAGGAAGAGGAGAGACCAACCGUAGGUGACCAGGACGAAGAACUGAACAAAGAAGAGACUACAACAAUAUUAGAUGAGGAUGAAGAUGAUGAGAAAACAACCUCAGCUGAUGAAGAAGAGGAGGCAGGAGUCGAUGAUCAUGACGAUGACGAGGAGGAGGAGAUCACAACAACAGAUGAGGGAGGUGAUGGGAUAACAGCUGCAGAUGAGGAUGGGCAGGAGGAGAAAACAACUGAAAAUGAGGAGCAGGAGGAAGAAAAAGCUGCCGUUGAUGAAGAUGAGGAGGAGGAGGAGGUGACCCAAGAGAAGACGACAACACGAGACGGCGAUGAGGAUGAAACCACUUUAGGCGACGAGUCUGAAGAUGAGAAGACCACGACCGUCGCCGCCGAGGAGGAGGAAGAGGAGGAGGCACCGACUUUGGAGGAGGACGCCGAGAGUGAACCUCUCGAGCGUGACGCUGAUGACGGGGAGCACCUUCAUCGUGAUGAGGAAGACGAUUCGCAUGACGACCAAGGGAAGCUUCCUGUUCCUGUUCCUGCGCCGGGACGCGCGAGCGUUCACAAACAUCCCGGCAAAAACCGCGCAGUUGCCAAAGAAGCAACGAAAAGAGAUCAAGCACAUAGAGACGUUGUACUUAAAGAAACAACUGAAGAAGAGAAAACAGACGUCACGCACGAGGAAUCGGUUGAGAACAAAACCACCGGGGAAAAACCAACGGAGAAGCUCAAAGCCAUCGUGAAACUCCUUAGAAAAAAGACUAAAAAAUUGAAAGAAGAACCCCUGAGGACGAAAUCAAUAAAGGAGGCAAAAGUCGAGGCAAACGCCACCAAAGACAAAGUGAAACCCAAGAAGCCAUCGGCGGUAAGCGUUUCCACAGUUAAAAUGGCAGAAAUGGCUAAGCAGGAUGAGAAAAGUGUGAGGAAACAUGCCAAAGAAGAGAAGGAACACCUUACUGAGAAGCUAACAAAGGAAUCGCCAAAAGAAGAAUUAAAAAACAUGACAUUACACAGGAAGUUGAUCCUCAAAACACUCAAAGAAGUCAAAGUACCUUUUAGAAAAGACAAAGAGGUGAAGAGAACUCAAAAAGAAGAGAAAGAGGUCAAAGAACCUUUUAAGAAAGCAAAGAAACCUCUGAAAGAAGAGAAGGAGGUCAAAGAAACUAUCAAGGUCGUCAAGAAACCUCAGAAAGAAGAGAGAGAAGAAAAAGCUGAAAAGGAGGUAAAGGAAACUUCUAAAGAAGACAAGAAACUUCAGAAAGAAGAGAAGGAGGCCACUGAAACUACAAAGGUCAUUAGAAAACUUCACAAAGAAGAGAAAGAAGUCAAAGAACCUCCAAAGGAAAUCAAGAAACCUCCAAAGGAGCACGUGGAGGCCAAAGCACAAUCUAGAAAAGAGAAGGAAGUCGGGGAAAAACCGAAAGAAGAGAAACCGGUCAAAGAAACAUUGAAGGAAGCCAAGAAACCAGCAAAAGAAGUUAAAGAACCAGCAAAAAAAGAGAAGGCAGUCAAAAAACCCCUGAAAGCAGAGAAAGACAUCAAAGAACCUUCUAGAUUAGAGAGGGAAGUCGUGAAACCUCAGAAAGAAGAUAUGGAGGUCAAAGAAAUUUCAAAGGAAGUGAAGGAGACUCAGAGAGAAGAAAAUGAGGUCAAAGAACCUUCUCAGGAAGCCAAGAAACCUCUGGAAAAGGAAAGAGAAGACAAAGAGCUUUCUAAGGAAGACAAGAAGCUUCAAAAACAAGAAAAAGAAAGAAAAGAACAUAAAAUGAAAACCAAAAAGCUUCCAAAAGAAGUGAAAGAGCCAUCUAAAAAAGAGAAGGCAGUCAAAACACCUCAUAAAAGAGAGAAAGAGGUCAGAGAACCUUUUAGAGAAGAAAAGGACGUCAAGGAAAAUCAGAAAGAAGAUAUAGGGGUCAAAGAAACUUCAAAGGAAGUCAAAGAGCCUCAGCAAAAAGACAAAAAGGUCAAAAAACCUUCUAAGGAAGCCAAGAAACUACUUUCAGAAGAGAAAGAAACCAAAGAACUUUCUGAAGAAGCCAAGAAACCCCCAAAAGAAUUCAAAGAACCUUCAAGAAUACAGACAGAAGUUGAGAAACCACCAAAAGAAGCCAAAGAACCUCAGAAAGAUUCCAAGAAACACUUACAAGAAGAAAAAGAAAUGAUAGAACUAUCAAAGGAAGAUGGGAAACUUCCCAAAGAACUCAAAGAAGUUUCUAGUACAGACGAGGAAGUCAGGAAACCUAAGAUAGAAGAAAAAGUCAAAGAAUCUACCAAGGAUGAGAGGAAAGUAAAGGUUAAAAAAGAUACGAGUGAGGACCACAAAACUCCCAAAGAUCAAAAGACUGUGGAACCACUCAAAGAAGAACCUGAACCACCACCCACGGAGAAACCACACAGAAAACUAAGAACCAUCAGUGCAUUACUCAGAGAAAUACCAGAGAAACCGCUGAGAGAAGGCAAAGAAGAGAAGAGCCGUCCCCAAGUUGACAAAGCUCACAAAGAGGACAAAGCCAUACAGGAACAUCCCAAAGAGGUUAGGAAACCUCUCAAGGAAGAGAAAGAAGUCAAGAAACCCGUCAAAGCCGACACACGAACAAAUACAUCUUCUGUGGACCGAAAAAAACCUGAGAAACCACAUGAAGACAAGUCAGCAGUCAAGAAAUCUCACGGGGAUGCUGUCGACGUCAGAGGACAUCUCAAAGACAAGAGAAGAUUUUUCAAAGUCCAGAAAGAGGACACGGAAGCAAAGAAUGCUACCAAGGAGGAGAUUCAAGGAAAGAAACCUCGUGAAAAAUUGGUGAUCUUCAGGAGAACGUCCAAAGACCAUGUGGAGGUUCUGGAGAAACCACACAAAGAAUGCAUUAACAAAACAGAAGAAGUCAAGAAGGCCCCCCAAGAGAAAAAGGAAGCCAGGAAACAUCUUACAGAAGAGCAAGAGAAACAAAAGGUUGAGGUUACCAAGGUUACCACUCUGGAAAAAGAAAAGAAGAAGCCACAUGAAGCACCUGAAAUCAGGAAACCGGAUAAGGACAUCCAGAGCUCUCUAAGAAAACAGACAAAGCUCCUGAAAUCAACCGCAGUGGAGGAAGGUCUCAAGAAACCAUCCCAAGAACUCCACGAGGAAGGAAAGGAGAAGAAGACCCACACCAAGGUAGAGAAGAUACCACAUGAAGAACAAACCAGAAGAUCUUUGCGAGACGAGCAAGACAUCACAGUAUCUCUCAAAAAAGAGAGAAAGCUCUUGAAACCCAGCGAGGAAGAAAAAGAUCUCCCGAAAUCUUCUGAACAAGUCCCGGAGACAAGUAAACCCUUUCAAGUGAAAGAAGAGAAGAAACAUCCUAAAGAGGAGGACAAGGUACCACAUGAAGAAGACACCAGGAGAUCUUUCAGGGAGGAGAUGGAAGUCAAAAAAUCUAUCAGAAGACAGACGAGGGUCCACCCACCGACCACAGUAGGGAAGGAACCCCAGAAAACACCCCAAGAAGUCCCUGAGGAGAGUAAACCCUCUGAGGUGAAAGAGGAGAAGACUCUGCACAAAGAACCUCGUGACAGAGUGGAUCAAGACAAGAAACCUUACAGGAAAGAAACAAUAAUCAAGGUGGCGGAUGAAACCAAAGAAAAGAAAUUAUGGGAGGAGCUUCCGCUAACGAAGAGCGAAAAGAAACUGACGAAACCUCCUGAGAAGGACAAAGAAGAACAUGAAGACAUCGUUUCCAAAGAAGUCAAGAAGCCCUCAAGAGAACCCUCGAAAGAGCUUUCAAAAGAAUCCAAGAAGGAACCACAGAAGUUGUCUGAGGUCCUCUCGAAAGGGGUCAAAGACACGACGAUGACCACGGGUGACACCUCCAAAGUGGACAAACAAGUCAAGAAGACUCCCAAAGAAAAACCCGCACAGAAAACAGUUGCGCCAAAGAAAAAAGCCGUCGUGAAAAUAGAACCUGAAGAAAGAAGUCCUGUAAAAAAUAUUUCUGUGCCGAAGGAGAGAGUGAAAAUAGUGCCAAUGAAGAGAGUUAUCACAAGGCCAGUAAAGAAAGUCCAGGAGCCACCUGGCAAGACAGCAGCUGAGGACAUCAAACUCAAGUCAAAACCAAAAGACGCAUCGGCGGCACAUCGAAACGCUUCUUCGGCGAGAGCAAAAGCAAAAUUGGUGCCACUGAAGAAAGUGCCUCUCUCAGACGACAAGACUGAAGCGAAGAGGAAAAGCGCUCCACCGCCCCUAAAGACAAAAAAGUCCUGCAAAGAAAACCAAAAGCCCACAGCGGUGACAAAAGAAAAAGCGCCGGAGAAGAAGACGGCCAAGGCCGACGUGCCCAAAGAUGACGGCGUUCUUCAAGAGAUACAAGACAAAAAUAAAUCGGCAAAGGAGGUCGAUCGAGGUCAAUCGAAAGCGGACUCGGACGACGUCGACGUGGAAGACGAGCUGCCCUACUUCCAGUGUUUCUUUGUGGACGAGGACGAGGCCCAAUUUCCCUUCUACGCGUUCUCGCCGCUGCAGGUUUGAGGCGGACCGGCCGCUGACGGCUGUUUUCGUGCCGGAGCAGGGGAUUGUGGCGUCUGCUAUUCGCGUCUGGGGCAAAGCAAUUUUAGGGCACGUGACUGCCACCGACUGGCUCUGUCCUGCCACUGCACGGAAACCAAUGCGACUCGAAGGCGGUCGGAUGUGGCGAAGUCCGCCCCCAAGCGUCGAGCGCCGGCGCUCAAGUCCCACUCGUGUCUCAAGACGAAAAGACGGCCCGUCUCUGGAAAAAGUGCGCUCGUAUCUCAAGGCACCCGAGUGCCGUUACCUUUUCUUUUUAUGAAUUCAUUUUUCUUUUUGCCUUCUUUUUUUCAUUUCCAAUCAUCCGGAAUGAUCACGCUGCAUAUAUAUGAGAGCAGGGACCGACUCAAACAGAUUUUUUUUUUUUUCAAAUUCUGAUAGCCGUAAAUAAUCAUCAUAAUCAGCCGAUUUAUUGGAAAAAUUAUAUAAAUUUAUAUAAAUAUUUAAAUAACUUGUUUAUGGCUCCCUUAACGCUUACAACAAUAAAGAUAUGAAUUAUAGGCAGAACAUUUGACUUUUUUACCGUAGUUUCAUAUUUCUUUAAUGUUGCAACAGGGACAAAAAUGGCCUAAAAUUGAUUUAUUGGAAAAAUUAUAUGCAGAAUUAAAUAACUUGUUUAUGGCUCCCUUAACACUUACAAUAAUAAAGAUAUGAAUUGUAGGCAGAACAAUUGACUUUUUUUAACGUACUUUUAUAUUUCUUAAAUGUUGCAACAGGGGCAAGAAUUGACAUUUAUUUGCCAAUUUUUUGAAUUUUUAAGAAAAAUGUUUGAAUAUCAUUACCUCUUGUAUUUUGUAACGUUUUAAUGUAAAAAAAAAAAAAUACAAUAAAAAAAUCACCCAGAGGAUAAACUGGUUGAGGCCCUAUAAGAGGGCUCCCAAAAACCUCUGGGGGGGAAAAAAAAAAACCCUUUGUAACAAUAAAAAGUCUUAUUAUUAAAUUUUGUUGCACAUCUGCAGAAAUUGAUUUGGGAAAAGAAAUGAAAGCGACGACUCGUGCGCGUUGUUUAUCGGCAGCCGGACGCCAUCGGAUGAUGCUCGUCAAGCUCGAUUGACGCUUAAUGUGGCGUGAGAUCAUAAUCCUACCGUAAACUGUAAAUCCACAUCUAUUUUUUUUAAAUCAUAACAAUAAUCAAAAUCAGUGGGACAUGUUUUGUGUCUGUGAAUGAUGCACGAAAAGAUGCCGAGUCAUCUGUUUUGAUUCUCACGAACGUCGCUGUUUUCACGUCUGUUUUAUGAAGUAUUACAUGUGUAUACUUUAAGUCAGAGUUACAGUUGCACUAUGCGAGCUCAUCUGCAUGCGUGUGUAAGGCUUCAAUAGAGAAGUAACAUUGUACAGUGGAUAGAAAAAGUCUACACACCCCCGCUGAAAUGCCAGGUUUUGGUGAUCUUAAGAUACAGUAAAUCAUUUCCACCUCCACAGCUCAAUUGGGAAAAAAAAAAAAAUAAAAAUACGUAUGCCGUAAUUUCCGCCCUACAAGCCGCGACUUUUUUCCACACGCUUCCAACCCUGCGGAUUAUGCGAUGAUGUUUAAUUUGUGCACUUUUUGUAACGGCCACAAGGGGGCACUCGAGCGAAAAGGUAAGAAUGAUAUGUGCUGAGGAAGUGACUUUUACCGGUACAGUUAGCGCUGCGCUAGCGUUAGCUCUGUGCUAGUGUGUUGCUGCUGUGUUACUGGCGUGUCUCAGUGAUAUUUACUGGUAAGUUUAAUUUUGACUGACCCUGUUACCGUUAGCACUAGCUUUAGCGCGGCGCUAGCGUUGCCACUAGCGUUAGCUCUGGAGGCCGGGAAUUGAGGUGUAUAUAAAUAUAUAUAUAUAUAUAUUUUUUUUAUUUUAUUUUUUUUACUGUCACAAUUUAAAGUGCUUUUGAUCAACUCUAAGUACAGCUCUUAUGUCCCCGCUCACAUUUUUUUUGUAUUUCUCAGGUCACAUUUUUUUUUUUUAUGACUCAUCCACUAACCUGGCAUUUAAAGAGGGGUGUGUAGAUUUUUGUUUUGCUCUAUAAAUCGAAAUUUGAGGCUCACCAAGGAUGAUAAUAAUAGAACAGCAGCAACAUUGUGACGUUCAAUAAAAGAGCCACGCAAAGCAUCUUUUGCGUCAUUAAUUUUGGGCGUUUUAAUCGCUUCAUAUUGUUCUGUCAGAACUAAAAAUAAAACCAUUCUUGUAUACAAACUACUUUUUAUUGAAAGUAGUUUGAACUUUGAAACAUUUACUUUUGGUAUUUUAAUGGCAUAUCGUUUGUUAAUAGUGCCUCCAUAAAAAAAAAAAAAAAAAACAAUUUGAUAAUGAAAUGACUUCACAUUUUUUUAUUUGAACAUAUAAACAUUCCCAACACUGACAAUUAUUUUAUACAUUUUUUGU